GACGUAGGGCGCGAGCGUUGUCCGGAUUUAUUGGGCGUAAAGAGCUCGUAGGCGGCUCAUCGCGUCUGCCGUGAAAACCCGCAGCUCAACUGCGGGCUUGCGGUUGAUACGGGUGGGCUGGAGUUCGGUAGGGGAGACUGGAACUCCUGGUGUAGCGGUGAAAUGCGCAGAUAUCAGGAGGAACACCGGUGGCGAAGGCGGGUCUCUGGGCCGAUACUGACGCUGAGGAGCGAAAGCGUGGGGAGCGAACAGG
rnacentral:rRNA from 1 species